GUAAUUAAAAUUUUUGUAGUUUUCAAAUUUCGAAUUUGGUUUAUUAUUAACUAAAAUUGAGGUUAUUCAAAUAAACGUGUUUUUCAACAGACGUCAAAAAGGAUAUAAUUAGCAAAGAAGAAAAAUAAGCAAGCAAUAACGGGCAUAGAUGGCGAAUUUGAGGUCGUUCCGAGCCGUGGAAUCGCAGCGGCUGCUGCUUCGAAACAGGAAAUCAUUUGUUCCAAGUGUGUCCCUGGAAAAUAUGAAUCUUCUGCCGGAUUGAUGCUCAACCGGUGAUCCUAACCACCGACAAAAGACCCUUGAACAAUUCACGGUUGGGUAGGAGAUCAACCCGAAACGCGAAGUCGGUCAUGGCAAUUUUAAAUCCACUCCCAACGGUCUCCGGAACAAUCGCUGCGGGAGUCGUCUACAGCAAACGGAUGACCAAUAUGCUCCGGGCCAAGAUUAUU